rnacentral:rRNA from 1 species
GGGGGCAGGCCUAACCAUGCAAGUCGAACGGUAACAGGAAGCAGCUUGCUGCUUCGCUGACGAGUGGCGGACGGGUGAGUAAUGUCUGGGAAACUGCCCGAUGGAGGGGGAUAACUACUGGAAACGGUAGCUAAUACCGCAUAAUGUCGCAAGACCAAAGAGGGGGACCUUCGGGCCUCUUGCCAUCGGAUGUGCCCAGAUGGGAUUAGCUUGUUGGUGAGGUAACGGCUCACCAAGGCGACGAUCCCUAGCUGGUCUGAGAGGAUGACCAGCCACACUGGAACUGAGACACGGUCCAGACUCCUACGGGAGGCAGCAGUGGGGAAUAUUGCACAAUGGGCGCAAGCCUGAUGCAGCCAUGCCGCGUGUAUGAAGAAGGCCUUCGGGUUGUAAAGUACUUUCAGCGGGGAGGAAGGGGUUAAGGUUAAUAACCUUAGCCAUUGACGUUACCCGCAGAAGAAGCACCGGCUAACUCCGUGCCAGCAGCCGCGGUAAUACGGAGGGUGCAAGCGUUAAUCGGAAUUACUGGGCGUAAAGCGCACGCAGGCGGUCUGUCAAGUCGGAUGUGAAAUCCCCGGGCUCAACCUGGGAACUGCAUUCGAAACUGGCAGGCUUGAGUCUCGUAGAGGGGGGUAGAAUUCCAGGUGUAGCGGUGAAAUGCGUAGAGAUCUGGAGGAAUACCGGGUGGCCAAAGCGGCCCGCUGGACGAAGACUGACACUUAAGUGCCAAAUCUUCGUCCAGCAAACCCGGAUUACAAUACCCUGGUUACCCCACAGCCGUACAACGAUGUUUAUUUGG